rnacentral:rRNA from 1 species
GGAAUCUUCCACAUUGGGCGAAAGCCUGAUGGAGCAACGCCGCGUGUGUGAUGAAGGGUUCCGGCUCGUAAAACACUGUUGUAAGAGAAGAAUGACAUUGAGAGUAACUGUUCAAUGUGUGACGGUAUCUUACCAGAAAGGAACGGCUAAAUACGUGCCAG